GACCGUGCACAGGAAGGGGGCUGAUGAGCGGGGCUGAAGACAGAUUCCCCCCCCCAAAGGGGAGAAAAGCAUUCCCAGAAAUAUACGAGUCAUCGUCGGCAAUGUCAACCCAGAGAAAGGGACAUCGCGAAGCCCCGGACGACAGAAAACAUCUAGUAGUUGGAACCCAGAGGAGCGAAGGAAGUAAGAUUUGCUGAUUUCAACGGCCAGCCAAUGCAUCAUAAAACUCCGUUCUCACAGCCACCAGGAAGACCCUGAGAAUGAUUGCCCAAGUUGUGCCAUUUACUUAUUAACCAAGAAGUAAAUUUGCGUUAUGGGCACGUUAUUUACUCUGUUGGAAAAUACCUUCUCGGCGCUCCUGUUUUCUCCUUUCUGAUGGUAAGAUUUAAAUGAGGUAAUAUGCGUGAAGCUGUUAACACAGCAAUUGGAAAACAGUAAAUGCUCAACACGUGCUGGAUGUUAUUACCCUUCAGGAUGGAGAGGCUGGCCCAGAGCGGUUAAGUAACUUGGCUAACCCACGAGGCUGAACGAUGUCAUAGCCCGGAUUCCCACCUGGCUCCUAACGCUCACACUCCGGAUUCUGCGCUAGGUUCUGGUGCUGCGGAAACACCGUGAGCUGUCCUGGUGCGAGGGAUCCCCGCAGCCGGAUGGUCUCGACGUGAAUUGUCAGCUGUAACUUUUUUGGAGAUACACCUUAUCCGCUCAGCUCGUGAAAAGUUCACGGGCCCUUGGGAUCCUUAUCUCUGCCUGAGGAAUACCUUCGUUCAUUAAUGAGCAAACCACUGAGUAAAUAAAUAAACACAAGCAAAGGGGAGGCCGAGAUGUUAGGCAAACAUUUGCAGAGCACGAUGCCAGGCCUUUCCGGGGCUGGGAGCUGCCGAGAUCUACCCCCGCUCAGAUGCCCAGGGCUUGCCUGGAAGACAGAAAGUCUCCUUCAGAAAACCCCUGGGGGCUACCUAGACUCUGUACCCCAGAGACGCCUUCUAUCUCUGGGCAUCAGUUUCUCAUCUAUGAGGAAGCGAGGCCCGGACUUUGGAGAAUCCGAAGCUGAGCAGCCUGGGUCCUCCAGGCUGAGCAGUCUCCUCUCAAAACUGAUGAAAGCAGAAUGGGUUUCACUUUGCCACAUGCCUUUCAAUCUUCCAAGGAAGGAUGGAAUAAAGGAGUGCGAAAUCUAGCAAAGCGAAGAUGUACGUGCUUGGAAUGGAAGCAAAUGGUGGAGCAUCAGUGAAUCGUGCAGGAAGCCACAUCUGAAAGAUUUUCAAGGGGGAGGCACACCCCGUGGACUGAUUUUCCAUGGACUCUUCCAAUGAGAGAUGAAACUUGAACUGGGCAUUGAAACCCAAGCAAUGUUUCAGACAGAUUCUGUGUCUCCCUCUCUCUCUGACCCUGCCCGGUUCAUGCUCUGUCUCUCCUUGUCUCAAAAAUAAAUAAACGUUAAAAAAAUUUUUUUUCA
rnacentral:lncRNA from 1 species